AUAUAUACAUAUAUGUGUGUAUGUAUGUAUGUAUAUAGUUUAUAGACGAGAGACAGAUAUUCUCCAUAUAGAAUACACUUUGUAGUGCUCAAGAGAUUUAAACUUAAGCAGGUAGAGGAGUAAAUGUAAGGACAAGCAAGAUA